rnacentral:rRNA from 1 species
AUGCUUUACACAUGCAAGUCGAACGGCAGCACGAAAGAGCUUGCUCUUUUGGUGGCGAGUGGCGAACGGGUGAGUAAUACAUUGGAACGUACCGGGUAAUGGGGGAUAACCAAUCGAAAGAUUGGCUAAUACCGCAUACGCUCUUGAGGAGGAAAGCGGGGGACCUUUGGGCCUCGCGUUAUUCGAGCGGCCAAUGACUGAUUAGCUAGUUGGUGGGGUAAGGGCCUACCAAGGCGACGAUCAGUAGCGGGUCUGAGAGGACGAUCCGCCACACUGGGAACUGAGACAUCGGCCCANACUCCUACGGGAGGCANCAGCUGGGGAAUUCUUNGGACAAUGGGGGCAACCCUGAUCCAGCCAUGCCGCGUGUAUGAAGAAGGCCUUCGGGUUGUAAAGUACUUUUGUUCGGGAAGAAAAGGGACCGGUUAAUACCCGGUUCUGCUGACGGUACCGAAAGAAUAAGCACCGGCUAACUACGUGCCAGCAGCCGCGGUAAUACGUAAGGUGCGAGCGUUAAUCGGAAUUACUGGGCGUAAUAGCAGAGCGCAGACGGUUACUUAAGCAGGAUGUGAANUCCACCGAGGCUCAACCUGGGAAACUGCGUUCUGAACUGGGUAGCUAGAGUGUGUCAGAGGGAGGUAGAAUUCCACGUUGUAGCAGUGAAAUGCGUAGAGAUGUGGAGGAAUACCGAUGGCGAAGGCA